rnacentral:rRNA from 1 species
AAUCCCUUAUCGAGGGUCAAUUGGAGGGCAAGUCUGGUGCCAGCAGCCGCGGAAAUUCCAGCUCCAAUAGCGUAUAUUAAAGUUGUUGCAGUUAAAAAGCUCGUAGUUGGAUUUGUGGCAUACGGUGGGUUCCGGGCACUUGUUGUCUGAGUAAUUUGCUGUAGCCAUCCUUGGGUGGAACCAGUGUGGCAUUAGGUUGUCGUGCUGGGGAUGCCCAUCAUUUACUGUGAAAAAAUUAGAGUGUUCAAAGCAGGCUUAUGCCGUUGAAUAUAUUAGCAUGGAAUAAUGAGAUAGGACUUUUUUGCUAUUUUGUUGGUUUGCGCAAAGAGGUAAUGAUUAAUAGGGACAGUUGGGGGUAUUCGUAUUCCAUUGUCAGAGGUGAAAUUCUUGGAUUUCUGGAAGACGAACUACUGCGAAAGCAUUUACCAAGGGUGUUUUCAUUAAUCAAGAACGAAAGUUAGGGGAUCGAAGAUGAUUAGAUACCAUCGUAGUCUUAACCAUAAACUAUGCCGACAAGGGAUUGGUGGAGUCUCGUUAUGUCUCCAUCAGCACCUUAUGAGAAAUCACAAGUCUUUGGGUUCCGGGGGGAGUAUGGUCGCAAGGCUGUAACUUAAAGAAAUUGACGGAAGGGCACCACCAGGAGUGGAGCCUGCGGCUUAUUUUGACCCAACACGGGAAAACUUACCAGGUCCAGACAUAGUGAGGAUUGACAGAUUGAGAGCUCUUUCUUGAUUCUAUGGGUGGUGGUGCAUGGCCGUUCUUAGUUGGUGGAGUGAUUUGUCUGGUUAAUUCCGUUAACGAACGAGACCACUGCCUGCUAAAUAGCCCAGUGAGUGAAUCUUCACUGACUGCUGGCUUCUUAGAGGGACGUGCAUUCUAUCAGAUGCAGGAGGAUAGUGGCUAUAACAGGUCUGUGAUGCCCUUAGAUGUCCUGGGCCGCACGCGCGCUACACUGAUGCAUUCAACGAGUUUUACCUUGGCCGAGAGGCCUGGGCAAUCUUUUAAACGUGCAUCGUGAUAGGGAUAGAUUAUUGCAAUUAUUAAUCUUGAACGAGGAAUUCCUAGUAAACGCAAAUCAUCAAUUUGCAUUGAUUACGUCCCUGCCCUUUGUACACACCGCCCGUCGCACCUACCGAUUGAAUGGUCCGGUGAAGCCUCGGGAUUGUGGCUAGUUCACUUUAUUGGGAGUUGGCUGCGAGAACUUGUCUAAACCUUAUCAUUUAGAGGAAGGUGAAGUC